rnacentral:rRNA from 1 species
GGAAUAUUGGACAAUGGGUGAAAGCCUGAUCCAGCCAUCCCGCGUGAAGGAUGACGGUCCUAUGGAUUGUAAACUUCUUUUGUAUAGGGAUAAACCUAGAUACGUGUAUCUAGCUGAAGGUACUAUACGAAUAAGCACCGGCUAACUCCGUGCCAGCAGCCGCGGUAAUACGGAGGGUGCAAGCGUUAUCCGGAUUUAUUGGGUUUAAAGGGUCCGUAGGCGGACCGAUAAGUCAGUGGUGAAAUCUCAUAGCUUAACUAUGAAACUGCCAUUGAUACUGUCGGUCUUGAGUAAAUUAGAGGUAGCUGGAAUAAGUAGUGUAGCGGUGAAAUGCAUAGAUAUUACUUAGAACACCAAUUGCGAAGGCAGGUUACCAUGAUUUAACUGACGCUGAGGGACGAAAGCGUGGGUAGCGAACAGGAUUAGAUACCCGAG